AUUAGGGUGGCUGAAUUUUAGGCGUUAAAUUGUAAAUUUACUUAUGGAUAAAACAUCCUCUUAAUA
rnacentral:tRNA from 1 species